GACGGAGGAUGCAAGUGUUAUCCGGAAUCACUGGGCGUAAAGCGUCUGUAGGUGGUCAAAUAAGUCAACUGUUAAAUCUUGAGGCUCAACCUCAAAAUCGCAGUCGAAACUAUUAGACUAGAGUAUAGUAGGGGUAAAGGGAAUUUCCAGUGGAGCGGUGAAAUGCGUAGAGAUUGGAAAGAACACCGAUGGCGAAGGCACUCUACUGGGCUAUUACUGACACUCAGAGACGAAAGCUAGGGGAGCAAAUGGG
rnacentral:rRNA from 1 species